rnacentral:lncRNA from 1 species
UGCAUUUUCACAUUGCACCUGCUGGUGCACUUGCCAAGUGCACCAGCAGGUGCACAAUUGGAAAUGCACCUGCUGGUGCACUUCCAAGUGCACCAGCAGGUGCACAAUUUAAAUUGCACCUGCUGGUGCACUUGCCAAGUGCACCAGCAGGUGCACAAUUGUAAAUGCACCUGCUGGUGCACUUGCCAAGUGCACCAGCAGGUGCACAAUUGGAAAUGCACCUGCUGGUGCACUUCCAAGUGCACCAGCAGGUGCACAAUUGGAAAUGCACCUGCUGGUGCACUUCGCAAGUGCACCAGCAGGUGCAUUUUCACAUUGCACCAGCACAUUUGGCCUAGCUACUAGCUAGGUCACUUUAUGUUUAUAUAUUCUUUGCAUAGAGAGACUAAUCUAAGGCCAUUUGAUCAAUGCUUUGCAAAGAUGAAAGAAAUUAUUUAAUUUGGAUCUAGAUUAUAUUCUCCAUCCUUAAUUUUUGGCUUUUGUACAUAGAAAAAUGAGUGGAGAAUGAAGUUUAUAAUCAUUUCCUUAAGAAAAUGCUGCAUUUUUCUUGUAUAAAAUAUGAGCAUGAUAGUCAUGUGAAAGGGAGUUUUUCUUUGAUUCAUCACUAUUGAGUAGUGAUAUAGAAUGCACAUGCUGGUGCACUUGAAAUGUGCACCGGCAGGUGCAUUUUCACAUUGCAC